UGAAACCAGAUAUGACUUAGUGGCGGACGGGUGAGUAACACGUGAGCAACCUGCCUUUCAGAGGGGGAUAACGGCUGGAAACGGUCGCUAAUACCGCAUGACGUGUUCGGAUGGCAUCAUCUGAACAUCAAAGAUUUAUUGCUGAAAGAUGGCCUCGCGUCUGAUUAGCUAGUUGGUGGGGUAACGGCCUACCAAGUCUACGAUCAGUAGCCGGACUGAGAGGUUGAACGGCCACAUUGGGACUGAGAUACGGCCCAGACUCC
rnacentral:rRNA from 1 species